rnacentral:miRNA from 1 species
AUGGAAUAGCUCAGGAAUCUUGAUAAAAUGCAGAGUGAAUUCAGCAGGUCUAAAGAGAGGCCUAAGAGUCUACAUUUUUAACAAGAUCCCAGGUGUAUCUGUG